rnacentral:rRNA from 2 species
UGACCUCAAAUCAGGUAGGACUACCCGCUGAACUUAAGCAUAUCAAUAAGCGGAGGAAAAGAAACUAACAAGGAUUCCCCUAGUAACUGCGAGUGAAGCGGGAAAAGCUCAAAUUUAAAAUCUGGCAGUCUUUGGCUGUCCGAGUUGUAAUCUAGAGAAGUAUUAUCCGCGCUGGACCGUGUACAAGUCUCCUGGAAUGGAGCGUCAUAGAGGGUGAGAAUCCCGUCUUUGACACGGACUGCCAGGGCUUUGUGAUGUGCUCUCAAAGAGUCGAGUUGUUUGGGAAUGCAGCUCAAAAUGGGUGGUAAAUUCCAUCUAAAGCUAAAUAUUGGCGAGAGACCGAUAGCGAACAAGUACCGUGAGGGAAAGAUGAAAAGAACUUUGGAAAGAGAGUUAAACAGUACGUGAAAUUGCUGAAAGGGAAACGCUUGAAGUCAGUCGCGUUGUCCAGGGAUCAACUCUUGCUUUUGCUUGGUGUAUUUUCUGGUUAACGGGUCAGCAUCAAUUUUGACUAUUGGAAAAAGAUCAAGGGAAUGUAGCAUCUUUUGGAUGUGUUAUAGCCUUUGGUUGCAUACAGUAGUUGGGAUUGAGGAACUCAGCACGCCGCAAGGCCGAGUUUUUAACUACGUACGUGCUUAGGAUGC